rnacentral:rRNA from 1 species
GACAGGGGGCUCGAGCGUUAAUCGGAAUCACUGGGCUUAAAGGGUGCGUAGGCGGAUCGGUAAGCAUCCCGUGAAAUCCCUUGGCUCAACCAAGGAACCGCGGGAUGGACUGCCGAUCUUGAGGAAGCUAGAGGCGGGUAGAACGAUAGGUGGGGCGGUGGAAUGCGUAGAUAUCUAUCGGAAUGCCGAAAGUGAAGACAGCCCGCUGGGGCUUUCCUGACGCUAA